AUGUGCAGGAAAUUGAGUUCGAUCUCUUCAAAAUUCUGGUGGGCGGCAACGAAUGGUGAACGCAAGGUACAUUGGAUAUCGUGGCAGAAGAUGUGCGUGGCAAAACAAGAUGGUGGAAUGGGCUUUCGAGACCACGAGGCCUUUAACCAAGCGUUACUGGCGAAGCAAGUGUGGAGGAUCCUGCAGGCACCUACGUCUCUGUGCGCGCGUGUGCUGAAGGCUCGUUAUUUCAGCGACAACUCCAUCCUAACAGCAACAGCACCAUCGUCCGCCUCGUACACAUUUCGUAGCAUUCUUCAUGGACGGGACCUGCUACGCGAGGGGAUUAUAUGGCGCAUUGGGGAUGGAAGCAGUGUUAACAUCCAUCAUGCAAACUGGAUUCCACGAGCUGGGAGCAUGCGGCCUCUUGGCCAGUUUUUUGCCACCGGCAUGUCAAAGGUUGCAGACUUGUUAGCGCAUGAUGGAAGGAGCUGGGACAUGGGCAAGGUGUGCUCUAUUUUCUCUGAUGGUGACGCUGAAGAUAUUAGGCAAAUAGCUAUUGGGGGUCCUGGUACAGAAGACUACCCAGCCUGGAACUACACCAAAAAUGGGGACUUCACCGUUAGAUCUGCGUAUCACCUAAGGAUGAAGAUGAAUACAACAAGGACCGGACAGCCGGAGUCCUCGAGCUCGGUGGCGUAG
rnacentral:rRNA from 1 species